GACGAACGCUGGCGGCGUGCCUAAUACAUGCAAGUCGAACGCAGUGGGGACGGGUGAGUAACACGUGGGUAACCUCCCAUCAGAGGGGAUAACACUUGGAAACAGGUGCUAAACCUAUAUUGAUGGAAGGACUCGCGGUGCAUUAGCGAGUUGGUGAGGUAACGGCUAACCAAGGCCACGAUGCAUAGCCGUCCUGGUAGGGUGAUCGGCCACACUUGGACUGAGCCACGUCCCAGGCUCCUACGUGAGGCAGCAGUAGGGAAUCUUCAGCAAUGGGCGAAAGCCUGACCUAGGCACGCCGCGUGAGUGAAGAAGGUUUUCGGAUCGUAAAACGCUGUUGUUGGAGAAGCGGUAUCUAACCAGAAAGCAACGGCUAACUACGAGCCAGCAGCCGCGGUAAUAC
rnacentral:rRNA from 1 species